AGAGUUUGAUCCUGCCUCAGAUUGAACGCUGGCGGCAGGCCUAACACAUGCAAGUCCAGCGGUAGAGAGAAGCUUGCUUCUCUUGAGAGCGGCGGACGGGUGAGUAAUGCCUAGGAAUCUGCCUGGUAGUGGGGGAUAACGUUCGGAAACGGACGCUAAUACCGCAUACGUCCUACGGGAGAAAGCAGGGGACCUUCGGGCCUUGCGCUAUCAGAUGAGCCUAGGUCGGAUUAGCUAGUUGGUGGGGUAAUGGCUCACCAAGGCGACGAUCCGUAACUGGUCUGAGAGGAUGAUCAGUCACACUGGAACUGAGACACGGUCCAGACUCCUACGGGAGGCAGCAGUGGGGAAUAUUGGACAAUGGGCGAAAGCCUGAUCCAGCCAUGCCGCGUGUGUGAAGAAGGUCUUCGGAUUGUAAAGCACUUUAAGUUGGGAGGAAGGGCAGUAAAUUAAUACUUUGCUGUUUUGACGUUACCGACAGAAUAAGCACCGGCUAUCUCUGUGCCAGCAGCCGCGGUAAUACAGAGGGUGCAAGCGUUAAUCGGAAUUACUGAGCGUAAAGCGCGCGUAGGUGGUUAGUUAAGUUGGAUGUGAAAUCCCCGGGCUCAACCUGGGAACUGCAUUCAAAACUGACUGACU
rnacentral:rRNA from 1 species